CCUACGGGAGGCAGCAGUGAGGAAUAUUGGUCAAUGGGCGAGAGCCUGAACCAGCCAAGUCGCGUGAAGGAUGAAGGAUCUAUGGUUUGUAAACUUCUUUUAUAUGGGAAUAAAGUGAGGAACGUGUUCCUUUUUGUAUGUACCAUAUGAAUAAGCAUCGGCUAACUCCGUGCCAGCAGCCGCGGUAAUACGGAGGAUGCGAGCGUUAUCCGGAUUUAUUGGGUUUAAAGGGUGCGUAGGUGGUUAAUUAAGUCAGCGGUGAAAGGUUGUGGCUCAACCAUAAAAUUGCCGUUGAAACUGGUUGAUUUUAGUAUAUUUGAGGUAGGCGGAAUGCGUGGUGUAGCGGUUAAAUGCAUAGAUAUCACGCAGAACUCCGAUUGCGAAGGCAGCUUACUAAACUAUAACUGACACUGAAGCACGAAAGCGUGGGGAUCAAACAGGAUUAGAUACCCUUGUAGUC
rnacentral:rRNA from 1 species